CAUGGAAGUAAAGAAGGGGAGCAUCAAAGAGUUGUGAUGUUAUCUGAUACAAUCUUCCUAAAUAAACACUCUGCAUUUCCUGCUUGCGGAAGCUGAGCUUUGUUCCGCGAGUCUCAUAUCUGCAAAGACACUAG
rnacentral:snoRNA from 1 species